AAAUAAUGAUGCUGAUUUUCAAGGAGGCAUAAGACAUUUGGUUUGCCAUCUGUGGCCCUCCAGGUGUUUUGGACUUCACUUCUCAGAAUUCCUGAUGAUUGGACAGGCUGGCUAGGGCUUCUGCGAGUUGGAGUCCCAAACAUCCUGAAGGCCACAGGUUGGACAGGCUUGUUUUAUGGUCAUCAGAUGUACUCAAUAGUCCAUCAGAUUCCAUCAAGCCGGUAGCUGCCAGUGCACAUCCUCUCUUCAUUAAUCACCCAUUCCCAUCAUCAACAACAAAAAGCUAGUUAUGAGCCUUAACAAAUAUUUUUUUGAAAAUUAAGCAUUGAUUUUGUCUGCUUCCUUUUAUGUUACUUGUGCCAUAUUUCCUCCUGUUAUACAUCCACUCCCUUUGUGGUUUGAAAUUGGCAUAUUCUCACACAACUUGAAGGCAAGUGUUCUCAGGAAUGCCACAACUGUACUGCAAUCAGCUCCACUUUCAGUUUUGAGUUAAUUGCAAAAGAGCUCCAUGAGGAACCACUUUCACCAUUUGUGUGUGCCUAAAUUGCAGGUAUUUAUCUCUUUGUUUUGUUUUCUGGGCAUCAACCCCUUUUUAACAGUGUGUAAGGCUGACUGCCAGAAGAGAGCAGAAGGAAGGGAUGAACAAGAUGGGAAGAGAGAACAACAUGAAAAGAAGACGGUUUCCUCUGCUUUUCACCAUUUUCCCCAGCUCCGUCUGAUGAAGUCCUUAGAGAUCUCUACCCAGGGUGAAGUUCGUACAGAAAUGGGACUGGUGUGGAAAUAGUUACUGCUCAUCACUGCCUUCACAAUAAUUGUGUCCACCACAGCGUUCUGAUUUAAUUCUCAUUGUUUAAAUUGCUGCAUAUCUAUUUUGGGAUCAUCAAAUGACAACCAGAUUCAGAAGAUGCCAUUACCUACUAACAAAGUCCCACAAAUGAAGCAAGGGAACAAACAUAUUAUUGCAUUGCUGAGGGUUUCAGAAAAACUAGAGAUAGUCUUGAUCUGGUCAAUGAAAUAGAUAAAUUACCUUUGUGUCUCCCCUUCAAAAAUGUAUUCACAGAUAUUCUUUUACUGAGGCAUUUACACAGCUGAAUCUUUAAAAGGCUGGCAUCAGAAGCAACUGCUUAAUUUGCCCCUCAGAUUAGGUUAGCCCUGUAGGCACCAGAUUUCUUCAGUACUUGCACAUUUCAUGACUGAGUCAGAGAACAUCUUUGUAGCAUUUGGGAACCUACACCCAGUUGGUAAAGGCAGGGCAGGAAGCCAGCCUAAGCCAUUAAAAAUGCCUUGAAUGAAAUGGUGUUUUAAUACAUUAUUAAGAAAUGAUCAGAGCAGUCAUUGCAGGGAGGAAAAAAAGAAGACAUAUAAAAGGUUCUUAUCAGAGAAUAAACCAGUCAAGCUGAACAUGGAGGGCUGCAUAUGUGAUUGCUUUCCAGCUAAGCAGAUCAGCCAAGGAAGUCCUCUACCGACACAUACAGCUCAAAAUGUCAAGCUGAUUGCUAGAGCUUUCAUGUCAAUUUACAUAAAUUAUCCAUAAAGCUCUCAUAUUUUAUUUCUAAAAAUUAUGUUUGCCAGUAUUCAUAAUCUAAUUAAGUGAGAAUAUAGUAGUGGUUACAGUUGAUUGCAUCUUUUGAAAAUGUAGUCUAUCAAUUCUACAUGACAAUGAGAGACAGUAAUUCCAGUCAAUUCCACAUUUUUCUCUCUAAUCCUUGUUCAGCAGAUAUAAGCAAAGCAGUCACUGUUCUCAUCAUCUUGCAAAGGUGGACUGAAAACCCCAGAUAAUGUAACAUUGCCCACUUUCUCUAUUUCUAACAGUUGCUAUAACUAUUGACUGUUCGUGAAUUGCAUAAACUAUUCAGCCUCUUGGAAGCCGAGGAAAACAAUAACCCACAGAAUCAAAACCUAAUGCUCUCAUUCACUUAUUAGCUUUAAUGAGCCGUAAGGAAUUUCAUCACUUAAAGAACAAUUCCUUCACUUCUGAAGGGGAAUCAGAAACUUCUUGCUUAUGGGUUGUUAGAUGUUGUGGGCCACCAUCUCUGUAUGAAGAGAGGAAGGUCUCAAAGUGAAAAGUGUCCUACCCCCAGAUCCCUUUUUUAUUAUACCUAAAUAAAGUUCUGUGUCUGUUCUGAACUCACUGUUGUUU
rnacentral:lncRNA from 11 species